CGUGAUUAAAAAAGGUGAGGAUUGCUGAGCAUGUUAGCUGCUAGCAUACGAUUGUGAAGAUAUAUUUGAUGUGGGCAAAGGGACAGAGAAUAGAUGGGUUGAUGAGGUUCACGUCGAAAAACAUGUCUGAAUUGCAGAGCCGGAGAUGUUCGAGGUCGUGGUGCUAGUUUCUUAAACGGAUCGGUUUGCUGUUUGCUGUGUAGCGAGCAAAGUUCGCGGCAAUUGGAAGAUAUUGAGCUUCAUUUAAAUCGAUUAAUUUUUCACACAGUUUCUGAAGACUAUUGCACGGUUGAAAAAUGUCUUUUGGUUCGAUGUAGAAGUUGAACUUGUGUGCUCACCCCCUCCGGGAUACUACAUCUCCUGGCGGACAUACCUGUCGGCCGAUUCAUGUGGUUGGGAUUCCAAGCCUCCAAUUUUCACAUUCUCAAAAAUGUGUUUUUAUUCAUAGAGAGGCAAGUUGGAUUUCCCUUGGCCUCAGGUAGUUGUAGGCAAUCUACUUUCUUGUUAUUGUCCACCACCGUUUUAACUUGGCCAUUUACUUCCUUGCUUUGCCAAAAUUGCUCUUUUAGGUUAGAUGAUGAAUUGCCAAGUUGAUAUUAUAUCAUUUUUAGAACUCCAAAAAUGAACAAGUAUACAUCUUUUACUUUUGGAGCAAGUUACUUAAGAUCCUAAUA